UCAGCCAAACGAGGCACGGCAAACAGCUCAGUAACACGUGGCUAAUCUGCCCUUAGGACGCGAACAACCCCGGGAAACUGGGGCUAAUUCUCGAUAGGUGAAGAACUCUGGAAUGAGUCUUUGCCUAAAAGAGCUUACGUUAUGCUCGUAAGUUUCGCCUAAGGAUGAGGCCGCGACCGAUCAGGUUGUUGGUGAGGUAAUGGCUCACCAAGCCUUUUACCGGUGCGGGCCGUGAGAGCGGGAGCCCGGAGAUGGGCACUGAGACAAGGGCCCAGGCCCUACGGGGCGCAGCAGUCGCGAAAACUUUGCAAUACACGAAAGUGUGACAGGGCUAUCCCGAGUGCCAUCCGCUGAGGAAGGCUUUUACCCAGUCUAGAACGCUGGGGGAAUAAGGAGAGGGCAAGUCUGGUGUCAGCCGCCGCGGUAAUACCAGCUCUCCGAGUGGUGUGGAUGUUUAUUGGGCCUAAAGCAUCCGUAGCUGGCUAGGUAAGUCCCCUGUUAAAUCCACCGAAUUAAUCGUUGGAUCGCGGGGGAUACUGCUUGGCUAGGGGACGAGAGAGGCAGACGGUAUUUUUGGGGUAGGGGUGAAAUCCUAUAAUCCCAGGAAGACCACCAGUGGCGAAGGCUGUCUGCUAGAACGCGCCCGACGGUGAGGGAUGAAAGCUGGGGGAGCGAACCGGAUUAGAUACCCGGGUAGUCCCAGCUGUAAACGAUGCAGACUAGGUGUUUGGACGGCCACGUGCCGUUCUAGUGCCGCAGGGAAGCUGUUAAGUCUGCCGCCUGGGGAGUACGAUCGCAAGAUUGAAACUUAA
rnacentral:rRNA from 1 species